GACAGAGGCCUCAAGCGUUAGGCGGAAUCACUGGGCUUAAAGCGUGUGUAGGCGGAUCGUUAAGUGCCUUGUGAAAUCCCACGGCUUAACUGUGGAACGGCUGGGCAUACUGGCGGUCUUGAGCCAUCUAGGGGCGACUGGAACAAACGGUGGAGCGGUGAAAUGCGUAGAUAUCGUUUGGAACGCCAAUGGUGAAAACAGGUCGCUGGGGAUGAGCUGACGCUGGAGAACACGAAAGCCCAGGGGAGCAAACGGG
rnacentral:rRNA from 1 species